UAAGGAUAUUGAACCCCUUUUCAAAUAUUCACUGGCUGUUUGUGUUCUUCUUUAGAGAAGCAUCUAUCUAGUUUGAUCGUCCAUUUAUUCUUUAGAAGUGGGUAUCCAGUUUCCAAAGUACUAGCUGUUGAAGAUACUAUCUUUGGAUAUCUUUGUCAAACAUUAGAUGGGGGAAGAGUGUAGGUGGUCAGGAUGGGAUGUGGACUCAUGGUCAACACACUUCCCUAAGAAACACCAGCUGCGAUGCUGUUUUAGUGUUUUACUUGUAUCUAUUGAUUGUCAAAACAACAGAUUUUGCUCUAACACUUUCACGUAUGCCCUUCCUGUUAUUAUAGCAGUCCUCCAUCUUUGCACAACAGGGGACUUUUCCUCUCCAUUAGGACACAGCGACAAAUGACAACAACAUUUCUCAUCAGGGAGGUAAAUGAUGUGGCUGAUGUUUGUGAUUCCGUGGAUGUGCUGGAGCUAGUGUAAGUCAGUCUUGCACAUUGCUGGCUAGAAGAUGCAGGCUGCACUGAAGUACUCACGCAGUGCUGGAGUCUCUACAAUCUAGCCAUCCCAAGGAGACCCAGAUUCCAUUCUGCUUGAAGUCAGAUUCUCACCACUAAGCUUUAGCUGCACCCAAACUUGAAAGAUAUACUUGUACAAGUUAGCACUGCACAACUCCAGGGAGCUCGCUGUUUCAUGAUGGUCCUGGAAUCAUCUCAGACUCUCAUUCUCUCUUCCCAGAUCAGAUUGCUGGAAUAAUCUGGUAAAUAGACACCCAGUGAAGAUACAGACUCUACAGACCCUAAUGACCCUCUGAAGAUCUGCCAGGCAAUGGCCACCAUGGACAGGGCCAAUGUAUUUUGCCAAGGGUCCAACCUGCUGUCUCUUUUGCCUGUGUCUACGCAUUUGACAAUUUUUCUUGUCAGAGAAAACCAUCUAGUCAUCAUUGCUGUUUCCAGAGAAAUCAAGCAAUUUCUUCAAACUCCCAUUAGCAGAUGUUAAAUAAAGCAAAGGCUAGAAGUGGAGAAUGCACAGAAUCCUCAAAACUGAGAGUUGAAAGGGUCUCUAGAAAUCACCCAAGAAUUUCUUUCUCUUUAUAGAAAAUAAAUCUGAGGCUGCUUUCUUGGUAGUGGAAAGCUAUUAAAUGCAGCUCAAGUGUCUCUGGGGUAUACAUCCACUCCCUCUUGGUGCAAAGAUCCCCCACCUCCCAUUCACACACUAUGAUAAAAAUGUGAUAUUGUGCUUGUAUCCAGAAGUAAUAAAGCGUAAAUGUAUGAGAAAAAUGCAUAUUAUGAGUGCAUGCUUUAAUUUUUCUCUAAUGGAGAUCUGAGAAUAUGACUUUUGUUUCUUUAUUUUAUUUUUUGGUGUGUAUGUG
rnacentral:lncRNA from 1 species